GUGUACUCAGGAGUUACGUGUGGUUCGCACACAUUGCAGAUGAAGCAGAGCUGAAAAGCUGGUCGUCCACGGUUCUCGUCCCAGGAGUUCAAAAAUAGUCAUUUGCAUUUCUACGCCGCUUACUUGCUGUAGCCGAUUGCUUUAAAAGUCCUGCAGCAGUACGGUAAGUGUCCACACCUGUCUCCACAUGUCCACAUGUGAACCAGCGGGAGACAUCAAACCUGCAGGAAAUCAUCAAAGGAAGUGAUGUUCCUCACCUUCCUCCUGGGCUGCUCUGGCGGCCCGGGCCUGGGCCUGCUCGAUGCUGAUUGGUUUCUCUCGGUGCUGCAACUGCACAGACAGGGGGACGACGGGAAUCUCUGGAAGCUUCUGUCUCCACUCGGGCCCAUCCUGCUCAAUCAGCAUCUUUGUGAGCCUGUCAGAGGACAAAGAGACUGAAACUAAGACCGCAAAGUGUUUCGCAUUAGCAAGACUCGUGCAGGGACCCAAAGGGAAACUGAAAUGACUGAGACGACUUGGUGUUACGUGAAAUUUGUCUUAACAUACGCCAGUUUCCCGUGUUUGGUUAUUUGUGUUCAGCUGACCUGUGGAUGCUGUCGUGAGCCGCCUGUAUCCCUGUGUCUAACUGCAGGACGGUCUUAUAAUCCACGUAGGCCUUUCUGUAGCGCUCCAGUGACUCAUAGGCCAUAGCUCGACGCAACAGAGGCUUCAAGGAGUAGGGCUGCAGCUCCAGAGCCCUAAGAGGAUCAGAGAGGAGAGGCGGAGACCGAGGGAUCUGAACAUGUGAAUGAAUAUUUGACCGACAGGCUGUCGCAGCCUUUAGAGCAAAGAAACAAAAAGCAGAAAGCUGCUGGAUCCAAAACUGCAUCACUAUGGAUGAUCUGCAUGCUGUGUUCCACAGUUACAGAGAAAACAGUUACAAUCGGGGUGUGGAAAAGCAGCUUGUCAUUCAGCUUUCAUGUAAAUAAUAUUGAAUUUAAAUAAAAACACAGCCCACAUGUCCCCAACUGGUUAAUGUCACGGUCCCUGGGUCUUUUACCGGGAGCUUUUGUGUUUUGCAGGUUCAUGACUUCCUCUAGAUUUGAGAAAUGAUUUUGUUCUAAUUCAGUAUUCUUCAUGGUCUUCUGUUAAUGUUUUUUUUCAUAUGAGUUUCUUUAUUUGUCCCUAUAGUUCUUUGCUUGCUUGUAGAUGACUUAAGGUUUAUUAGUUCCCUUUUGUUAAUCCCACUCUGUCCCUCCAGUCUUGUCUCUGUCUCUUGUCUUUCACUGUUUACUUCACAUGUUCGAGCCUUUGUCGGUAUCUUAUUUCCUGCUUCAUUUUGGUGGUCUUUUGUCUUUCGUGCUUUGUAUCUAAUUCAUAUUCUCGUCUCGUUAUCCCUGAUUUGUUCCUGCUGUAUCUCAAACUUUUGACUCUGUUAAAAUAGUGAGUAUAAGACAAAAAAGCACAAAAACUCCCCCUUUAAUAAGAUAUUCAUAAGUUUUCUUGGCUGAUCUCUUUAUCCCAAUCUCCAUCUAUGCAUUUCUCUCUUUAUAAGCUGGUACUGGUAAGAGUAGACGUUCCAACCAGGCUGUAAUUGUUGCCAUUUUGGGAAAAUUAAUUGUUUACCACCAUGUUACAGCUGUUAUGUACAGUUAUCUCUCAAAUGAUGUCACACAUAAACUUAGCACUCCACACUUUAAACAAAUGGUCACUUUUGGACCCAAAACCCCAAGAUGAUUACGACCAUGACACCAAAACCAAUGAGUGUCAUUUGAGUGGUUAUGGCCAUCUUUUAAAUACAGUCUGUGAUCUGACAGUGUUUUUGGAGUGUGAUGUCAGAUCUGUGGAGUCGUCUCUCAAACCUGGAAGUUAUAACCUGUAAUAAAACCGACGCUUGUCACGUA